UACGGGGGGAGCAAGCGUUGUUCGGAUUUACUGGGCGUAAAGGGCGCGUAGGCGGCGUAACAAGUCACUUGUGAAAUCUCCGGGCUUAACCCGGAGCGGCCAAGUGAUACUGUUGUGCUAGAGUGCGGAAGGGGCUACUGGAAUUCUCGGUGUGGCGGUGAAAUGCGUAGAUGAUCGAGAGGAACACCUGCGGCGAAGGCGGGUAGCUGGGC
rnacentral:rRNA from 1 species